UACGUAGGGUGCAAGCGUUUGUCCGGAAUUAUUGGGCGUAAAGAGCUCGUAGGCGGUUUUGUCGCGUCUGCUGUGAAAACCCGAGGCUCAACCUCGGGCCUGCAGUGGGUACGGGCAGACUAGAGUGCGGUAGGGGGAGAUUGGAAUUCCUGGUGUAGCGGUGGAAUGCGCAGAUAUCAGGAGGAACACCAAUGGCGAAGGCAGAUCUCUGGGCCGUAACGACGCUGAGGAGCGAAAAGCAUGGGGAGCGAACAGG
rnacentral:rRNA from 1 species